rnacentral:rRNA from 1 species
UUCGCCCUUAGAGUUUGAUCCUGGCUCAGGACGAACGCUGGCGGCGCGCCUAACACAUGCAAGUCGAACGAGCGAGAGAGAGCUUGCUUUCUCAAGCGAGUGGCGAACGGGUGGGUAACGCGUGAGGAACCUGCCUCAAAGAGGGGGACAACAGUUGGAAACGACUGCUAAUACCGCAUAAGCCCACAGCUCGGCAUCGAGCAGAGGGAAAAGGAGCAAUCCGCUUUGAGAUGGCCUCGCGUCCGAUUAGCUAGUUGGUGAGGUAAUGGCCCACCAAGGCAACGAUCGGUAGCCGGACUGAGAGGUUGAACGGCCACAUUGGGACUGAGACACGGCCCAGACUCCUACGGGAGGCAGCAGUGGGGAAUAUUGCACAAUGGGGGAAACCCUGAUGCAGCGACGCCGCGUGGAGGAAGAAGGUCUUCGGAUUGUAAACUCCUGUUGUUGAGGAAGAUAAUGACGGUACUCAACAAGGAAGUGACGGCUAACUACGUGCCAGCAGCCGCGGUAAAACGUAGGUCACAAGCGUUGUCCGGAAUUACUGGGUGUAAAGGGAGCGCAGGCGGGAAGACAAGUUGGAAGUGAAAUCUAUGGGCUCAACCCAUAAACUGCUUUCAAAACUGUUUUUCUUGAGUAGUGCAGAGGUAGGCGGAAUUCCCCGGUGUACCGGUGGAAUGCGUAAAUAUCGGGAGGGAAACCCAGUGGGCAAAGGCGGCCUACUGGGCACCAACUGACGCUGAGGCUCGAAAGUGUGGGUAGCAAACAGGAUUAGAUACCCUGGUAGUCCACACCGUAAACGAUGAUUACUAGGUGUUGGAGGAUUGACCCCUUCAGUGCCGCAGUUAACACAAUAAGUAAUCCACCUGGGGAGUACGACCGCAAGGUUGAAACUCAAAGGAAUUGACGGGGGCCCGCACAAGCAGUGGAGUAUGUGGUUUAAUUCGACGCAACGCGAAGAACCUUACCAAGUCUUGACAUCCUGCGACGAUGCUGGAAACAGUAUUUUCCUUCGGGACGCAGAGACAGGUGGUGCAUGGUUGUCGUCAGCUCGUGUCGUGAGAUGUUGGGUUAAGUCCCGCAACGAGCGCAACCCUUACUAUCAGUUACUACGCAAGAGGACUCUGGCAGGACUGCCGUUGACAAAACGGAGGAAGGUGGGGAUGACGUCAAAUCAUCAUGCCCUUUAUGACUUGGGCUACACACGUACUACAAUGGCGUUAAACAAAGAGAAGCAAGACCGCGAGGUGGAGCAAAACUCAGAAACAACGUCCCAGUUCGGACUGCAGGCUGCAACUCGCCUGCACGAAGUCGGAAUUGCUAGUAAUCGUGGAUCAGCAUGCCACGGUGAAUACGUACGCGGGCCUUGCACACACCGCCCGUCA